CCCGGGUUCACGCCAUUCUCCUGCCUCAGCCUCCCAAGUAGCUGGGACUACAGGCGCCCGCCACUACGCCCGGCUAAUUUUUUGUAUUUUUAGUAGAGACGGGGUUUCACCGUUUUAGCCGGGAUGGUCUCGAUCUCCUGACCUCGUGAUCCGCCCGCCUCGGCCUCCCAAAGUGCUGGGAUUACAGGCGUGAGCCACCGCGCCCGGCCCAGAAGCCAGAGUUCUUAAUGGCUAUAUUAUAGAGCACUUCUAUUUCCAGCUUGAUUACUUUGAAAAUGUAAAGAAGACGGCUGGAGCUGAAUCAGCCAUCUUUGACUAUGGUGUUGCUCUGAGAAUGGGAUUUGCACAAGGCUAAGUAACAUCAUAGAAGUAGCCCAGGUGCCUGAGGACUUCAAACACCCAAGCCUCCACUACAGCCUCAAUUUCCUUCCUUACAUUGUUUAUGUGAGAAAGCAAUAAACUUCUAUUUUGGUUAAUGCACUAUUAUUUUGAGUUAUCUGUUACUCACAGCCAAACUGGGCUGAAAAGUCAUCAAAUCCUUGUGCCCAGCUUCUAUACAAAUAGAGAGUGCUACUCUACUAAAUUAAAGUUAAGUAGUAUUGGUCAAUGUUUUAGCAGGAAAUAUUUUCAGUAACUGUCCUUGAAAGGACAGAUAUCCUUCCCCAUGACACAAAUAUGCUCACUCUGAGCUAAUGUGCUCAGACAUUCACAGUGGAGGUGUUGGAA
rnacentral:lncRNA from 1 species